GAUGAACGCUGGCGGCGUGCCUAAUACAUGCAAGUCGAGCGAACAGAUGAGGAGCUUGCUCCACUGACGUUAGAGGCGGACGGGUGAGUAAAACGUGGUUAACCUGCCUAUAAGACUGGAAUAACUUCGGGAAACCGGAGCUAAUACCGGAUAAUAUAUUGCACCGCAGGGUUCAAUAGUGAAAGACGGUUUUGCUUUCACUUAUAGCUGGUUCCGCGCUGCAUGAGCUAGUGGGUCAGGUAACGGCUUACCAGGGCAACGAUGCGUAGCCGACCUGAGAGAGGGGUCGGCCACACGGGAAGUGGGACGCGGACCAGAGUCCUGCGGGAGGCAGCAGUAGGGAAUGUUACGCAGUAGGGGGAAGCCUUACGGAGCGGCGGCGCGUGAGUGGUGGGGGUCUUCGGAUCGGGAAACUGUGUUUUUAGGGAAAAACAAAUGUGUAAGGAACUAAAGACUUAUUGACGGUACCUAAACAAGAAGCCACGGCUAACUACGUG
rnacentral:rRNA from 1 species